AGGCGUCGAAGUGGUAGGCGUAGGCGACCUUGCCCUUGCCGGGCAGCAGGGGAUGCUGGCGCUGGAAGCGAUUCUCGUUCGAGGCCAGCGACGUCAGC
rnacentral:tRNA from 1 species